rnacentral:rRNA from 1 species
UUUGAGACCGGCGCACGGGUGCGUAACGCGUAUGCAACCUACCUAUUGCAGGGGAAUAGCCCAGGGAAACUUGGAUUAAUGCCCCAUAGUCCAUAUUGAGAGCAUUUGAGAUAUGGUAAAGAUUCAUCGGCAAUAGAUGGGCAUGCGUCCUAUUAGCUAGUUGGUGUGGUAACGGCACACCAAGGCUACGAUAGGUAGGGGCCCUGAGAGGGGGAUCCCCCACACUGGUACUGAGACACGGACCAGACUCC